rnacentral:lncRNA from 1 species
AAAUAAUUAAACAAGAUAAUUUAAAAAGGUAAAAGUGUUAUGAAGAAAAUAAAACAAAGUAGAGAUAAUAAAACAGAUGGGAUAGACAAAAAUGGUGUGCUACUGCACAUCUCUUUACAUCUCUGCAUUCAGUGACUUCAUGCUUGGGAUCGGCCAUGGUAGGAGUAUUUACACCACAGAAACAAGCCAGUGCUACAAACCAGUGCUAUAAACUGGGCUUUCUUCCCUCUGGACAGCUAGUUAUUAAAUGUUAACCAGCACACUACUGAGUGAAGGUCAUUGACUAAAGGCGAGAUUCUGACAUUUAGUAUAGAGGGGGUAGGAAGAAAACAAAUGGUGACUGAGCAUUGCUUUGUGAUAGUCAUUGUGCCACAUGCUCAAUUUAUCUUCUUUAUCUAAUAUUUAUAAAAAUGGUGUUAGAGGCAGUAUUAUCCUCAUUUUAUUGGUGAAAAGACCAAGGCUCAGAGAAGUUGACUUGUAAAAGGUUACAUAAUAAACUAGGGUAUUUGAUUUGAACCCAUUUCUCUGACUCUAAAGCCCUUUUUUUUCCUCUCAUACCAAGCUUCUAACAUUUAAUUGAAUGAAUUUAUAGCAUUCAGUUAAAAUGAGGUUGACUAUAAUACUCUGCAUUGUAACACUCAGAACCAAUUUCAUUUCAUUGAUCGUGGAAAUUCAGACCCUCUUUCCUGCAUACUUGUCAUCACCAGGUAUAGGUCCUUAAAAUAUAAACUUCUGGGUCCAUAGCCCAUCAGAACUACUAAUUUGUUACCUGCUGGACGGGAAAGGAAAUAAUCUUUACAUUGUUUUUGGUAGUGGUAGGUGUUUUUUUUGUUGUUGUUGUUUUGUUUUUUUCUUUUUUUUGUCUUAACAGGUAAGAGAUGGUAAGGCUAAACUUCCUAAAUCAUAAUGCAGGAAAUUUGUCAUGAUUGUUUUUAAAAUCACAUGUUCAAGUGUCUAGUGUCUAUUAUAGUUGAGUGUUUGAAGAUAGUGGAAAAAUAGAUGUUAUUCCUCUAAUUUCAAACGCUUAAGAUAUGUUUUCAGAAUCUGUUUGAAGUUAACUAUAAAGCUUGAGUUCCCAAACUAUUUUUAGUAACAAAGACAUGAGUUUGAAUAUCCUUUUCUAGGCAAAAAGCUCAUUUCCAAUAUACUGUUACAUCUCUUCUUCAUAUCGGAAUAGUGUAGUUUAUGUUACAGAUUUUUUUCAUCUGCUGAGUAAACUUGGGCAUGCUUUUGACUAAAGGCAUUUGAACUGGCUGUUAAAUUCAUCUCUACAGUUGUCCUGCCAUAUCCACAGGGAAUUGGUCCCAAAAUGUCCACGGACACCAAAAUUCAUGGAUGCUCCUCAAGUUCGGCAGUCUGCCCUGAAGAUAGGAAAACGUCCUAUACACACAUACAAAAGGUCAGCCGUCUGUAUCUGUGGGUUCCACAUCCUACAAAUGCUAUUAUCUUCCAUCCCAGUUGGUUGAAUCUGCAGGUGCAAAACCCGUGGAUACAGAAGCCCGACUGUAUUUCCUUUUUUUCUGAGACAGAGUCUUGCUCUGUUGCCCAGGUGGGAGUGCAGUGGUGCGACCUCAGCUCACCACCACCUCCACCUCCCAGAUUCAAGCGGUUCUCCUGCCUCAGUCUCCCAAGUAGCUGGGACUACAGGUGCACACCACCAAUGCCUGGCUAACUGUCUCACUUUGUUGCCGAGGCUGGUCUCAAACCCUUGGCUCAAGUGAUCCUCCUGCCUUGGCUUCCCAAAGUGCUGGGAUUACAGGUGUGAUGCAUCACACCUGCUGUCUUUUAUUAUAUAAUUUUCCUACCUCCCUGAGGUUUAUCUAAUAUUAAUACACUGUCAGAGAUUCCUAAAAGAUAAUUAGUGCACCCAAAUAAGAAGGUAUGUAGGCCUACACAAAUAAAAUGGAAAUAUCUAAAAUG